rnacentral:tRNA from 1 species
GGACUGUAGCUCAGUGAUAGAGCACCUGCCUCUCAUGCGUGAGGCACUGGGUUUGAUCCUCAGCACCA